GUGUCAGCCGCCGCGGUAAUACGAAGGGGGCGAGCGUUGUUCGGAAUUACUGGGCGUAAAGGGCGCGUAGGCGGCCGAUCAAGUCAGAUGUGAAAGUCCUGGGCUUAACCUGGGGACUGCAUUUGAUACUGAUUGGCUUGAAUUCGGGAGAGGAUAGCGGAAUUCCCAGUGUAGAGGUGAAAUUCGUAGAUAUUGGGAAGAACACCGGUGGCGAAGGCGGCUAUCUGGACCGACAUUGACGCUGAGGCGCGAAAGCGUGGGGAGCAAACAGGAUUAGAUACCCUCGUAGUCC
rnacentral:rRNA from 1 species